rnacentral:rRNA from 1 species
GAUGAACGCUGGCGGCGUGCCUAAUACAUGCAAGUCGAACGAAACUUCUUUAUCACCGAGUGCUUGCACUCACCGAUAAAGAGUUGAGUGGCGAACGGGUGAGUAACACGUGGGCAACCUGCCCAAAAGAGGGGGAUAACACUUGGAAACAGGUGCUAAUACCGCAUGACCAUAGUUACCGCAUGGUAACUAUGUAAAAGGUGGCUAUACUACCGCUUUUGGAUGGGCCCGCGGCGCAUUAGCUAGUUGGUAGGGUAAAGGCUUACCAAGGCAAUGAUGCGUAGCCGAAUUGAGAGGUUGAUCGGCCACAUUGGGACUGAGACACGGCCCAAACUCCUACGGGAGGCAGCAGUAGGGAAUCUUCCACAAUGGGCGAAAGCCUGAUGGAGCAACGCCGCGUGGGUGAAGAAGGUCUUCGGAUCGUAAAACCCUGUUGUUAGAGAAGAAAGUGCGUGAGAGUAACUGUUCACGUUUCGACGGUAUCUAACCAGAAAGCCACUGCUAACUACGUG